rnacentral:lncRNA from 1 species
UGCUGCAGUCGGGUUUCACCUCAGUGCUGUACUGGAGAUGGAUAAAUAAGGUAUUGGUUGCAUCUGCCUGUUAAGGCAAAGCCAAGGGAGAAGGAGAGAGCGAGUGAAUGCAAAUGCAAAGGAAGAAGAAACGCUCUGUGCCGUUUGUCUGAUUCUGCGGAUUCUCACUGCAGAGAGGAUGGCUUGAUUAACAAAGCAAUGUAUGGACCGAGGGACUGUAAAUUGUAGCUUGAGCAUUCCUGGUGCUGCCAGGGAGUGAACUGAUGAGUUAGGUAGCUGCAGGAAUAUCCCCAGGGUAAACAGCAGCCUCUCACUCUGUGUCUAUAUUUGUGUACGUAUGUGCUUUUGUGUGUGUGUGUGUGAACACGUACAGAAAUGAAAGAAAGACAUUUCUGACCAAUUUACAGGGGACGUUUGUCAGUUUGCUGGGUCAGACUUGAUUACAGCUUGUAUUUUCAGCUCUAGCUCUACACCCAUUUCCUGACUGAGGUGGCACUUUGUGAAAACAGAUGGUAGGCAGUAUUCUUUUAAGAAUUGUGAAAGCAGAUCCUUUCCGCUUAACACCUUGAAGCACUGAACCUUCUGCACUGUGCUGAGAGAAACCGUGGGGUUUCAUUUUCUCCAUCUUAAAAUCUCUAUAAACACAGCUGUAUUCAGUAUGGUGAAAAAUUCUAUACUGUAAAUAGAAAUGUGAUCAAUCUAAUCAAAAUAAAUGCAUCCCAGAUGACUUCUAGACCAGCUGGCUACCACAAUUUUCAAAAUCAGCCUCUAAUUUAAAAGGAUUCUUCAUAUAUUUAGAAAAGGCAAUGCUUUCUGUGAAAUGUACCUGGGUGUAUUUUUUACUUUGGAAUCUGCUUGGGGCGAUUUUAGAGUAGGUAGACUUGUCACAGUACAGGCAUAUUUCAUUUGGUAGGUAGCUCAGCCUGGCCAUAUCUGAACAAUGCAGAAACAGGGAAAACAACCACUGCAUACAGCUAGCAGGGCUUGGCAUGGAUUUUAGCAGCUGCCUAUCAAGAAAGACAAGUUUUUUUUCUUUCCGUUUUUCCCUUUUAUACAAAGCCAUAGACCAUAAUGUCAUACUAAAAUGUGUAUGAGGGGAUUUCCCAAUAGUCAUGGUGAGCUAGCCUGCAGGACUCCCGUCUAGUCCUUCCACUAUUUUUUCCCCAGCUUACAAAGGCAGCCCUGUAUGUUGAAUUGUAUUUAGCCAGCUGUUGGAUAGCAUUCUUGUGCUGGGGGCUAAGGAGUCUUAUUACUCCCAAACUGUAGUUUUCUGUUUGCUUAAAGAAAAUUGGCAAUACAGCAGGCUCUGCAAAUAAGUUUAUGCCACUCCUAUACCUUUCUGAAUCUGUUGUGUGCUUCUAAGUCAAGCAGUUUAAAGCAAGCAAGGAGGGAGGAGGAGAGACUCUGAACUUGCAGCUUCAAAGCUACAGAGACAAGCAAAAUGUCAGCAGCUUGUAAUUAGGAGCCCACGGUUACGUCAGUGACUGUAUCUCUCCAGGAAUUGCUAUGAGAUGUGUGCCACAAAGCAAAGGAAGACUCUCAUAACCUGGUUAACAAGCCUGGCUCAAACAAGAAAGAGCAAAAUGGAUUAAUGAAUCUGCUGUGUUCCUAAUUCAGAUGUGGAUGGAUUACACGCACAAGGUUUGCUGAAUUCUGCAGCAGCGAAGACUGAAUUAUAGCAUGCAUUCACCAAAAGUGCAAAUCCUUCAGGAAAAAAAUGCAGAUGAGCAGUCUAUCCUUGAAAAUUUCUUUCCUAGCUCUGUCCUGUACAGGCAGCUGCAUGACAUGGAGGCACGCUCUGAAGGAAGAGACUGGCGAGCUGCACAAAGAUGUUUAAAAGGAAGGUGCAAUUAGACACAAAGCAAGCCUGCUGAAAUUCUGUUCUGGCAUUACAGAUUUGAUACUGAAAUACCACCACAGAGGAGACCGGCUGGGCUCUGGUGUGGUUUAUAUUAAGGCUUCUCGGUUAAGAGCGAGGGGGAAGGGACAGGGCUUCCUGCAGCAUCUUGCAGCCAUACAGAAGUCCCCAGGGCUGUGGGAAGCAGGAGGGAUGGGUGUGCUCUUAAAGACACAUGCCCAGAUCCUGCCAAGGGGCUUUCUGACCUCUGCAAUUAUUUUUAGGUCCAUGAAGGCAACUCGGCAGUGCUUUAGCAGUGAGAUUGCAGGGGGUGUUUAAUCUGCUGCGACUGGCCUUUCUCUGUGUCAUGGCUGGGAAAGGCUUAUAGAGCUUUUAUCAAUACCCCUCCACCCCUCCACCACAUCCAGCACGCAUGUCUGUCGCUGUUCCUAAAGACCAGUUACUGGAGUUCUGGUGUGUUUUCCUGCUCCCAGCAGAAGUCACUUGCAGUUCAGCUCUGUUGUAGUUGCUUUUUAAUUUACCAGAUAGGUAGAUUGUAUUUUACAAACAGUGGGGGUGGGUGGUUUUUGGUUUGGUUUUGGUUUGUUUUGGUUUUUUUGGUUUUUUUUGGACUGUGAACACAAAUUUGUAGGAUGAGGUGACUCUGUAUAUUAAACCAAUAGCUCUUUGAAUUGUGUGUAGUAUAAUCUAAAUAUACUUACUUUAAUUAAUAGAAGGUUACAAAAGCUGGCAUUGUCUGGGGCUGUUUAAUUUACAUCUUAGGUUUAGUCAAUGAGCACAACCUGCCUGAUUAGAACAGUGUAUUCUGCACAGCCAACAGGGUGGAAGGCAUUAUUUUGUUUGUGUUAGUUCAAACAGCUGGUCAUUAAUGCAGGCCCCAUCUCCAGAGUGAAGUGCUAGUGGACAUGAAUGGCUGCCUGAUUAAUGCUGCCCCUCGACGGGUCCUUCAUCCAGCAGCAAUGCUCGCAGCAGAAUAAUGCAGCGGGAUUUGAUUGCGCUCUAACAGGGUAGUAUGUCAUUGUGUCACCAAGCGAUCGAGGUUAUUAUGGGGUAGGGCAGACAGACGGGACAGUGGGGUUACUAGACCGUGGCAUUUUUAGAAAUGCAGGGCUGACCUACUUAGAGUUAUUCUUGCUGGCUGGCAGCUGCCUGGUGCGGGGCUCCCCCGGAUAGGCUGCGGCUGUUGCUAGGGGGAAUUAGCAUGAAUUUUUCCACAUACAGACUCAGUGAUUGAAUGAUAAAAGCUGACUGGAAUUAAAGAGAUUCGGUUCAGUAUUAUGCAGAUUUAUCUCCCUCAUUUUUUUUUCUCUCUGUCAAAUGCAUAAAAAGGAGCAGAAAACAGUUUGUUUCCAUUUAUUUUUGACCUAUUUUUUUUUUUUCCAGAGGAGGGCAGAAGUGUUGUGAGGUGAUAAUUUAAUAUUUAGGCCGUUGAAAUGAUAUGAUAGUGAGCAUGCAUCUUUAAUGUAUGGAAGAUUAAAAUGCUGCCUCUCUGGAAGGGAAUGAAAUGAAUAUAUUUUGUGUUCUCGUCAAGCUGCCACCUCUUUUUAUUUCAAGCCAUGUCAGAUUCUUUUAUCUGGAAAGGGGAAACAUAUACCAUGUUUUAUUGCAUAGCAUUACUCUUAGCUAUUUUUAGCUAUCUGUCCUUCAAAAAAUUAGUCUUAUUUAUACUAGUGGAUGAAAUUAAUCCCCAGGCUAUGCCUUAUGUAUGUGGAGACAGAUGCCCAGGGUAGCUGCAGUGUUGUGUGUCAUGUUCAUCUGAAAAGGUGUUUACACACUGCAGGCUUAUCAGCACUGCAUACCUAGCAGAGUGCAGAUGCCUGACAUGUAAUCAGAUCAAUUAGAGAACUCUCCUGGAUUAUGGAGUAUUUUUCAGGCCAUGGUUUGAAGUUGGAAUCUCUAGAUGGCCUUCUUUUAUUUAUCUACAUCUGCCUAAAACAGUGUUAUCUUUUCAGAGAACACUGUGCUCCCUUAGGAGGCAAAUAAUAACAAUACUUAGUGAAGAAUCCUUUGAUGUAAUCAUGAAUAUUUCCUUUGUUAUUAUCACUAGUUAUAGAAGAACUUUGUUUAAACCGCUAUUUCCCCUUGUGUGAUCUUUUGCCAUUCAAAGAAAUACCAAUUUAGUACUUAUAAUUUUAAGUUAAAUAUUCAUGGCAAUGCAUCAUGACAUCACACUCAAAGAAGUGGGAAUUUUCAAAAUAUGAGACAUUGGGGGAUGGGAGAGAAGGACCCACAUGCCUUUGGAAAUGCAAAAUAAAAAAUGGGACUUAGUGCUGAAAAGUAGUGAACUAAUUUUUGUCUGAAACAGUUUAAUUUCAAAUAUUUGGAUGGAUGAGGUACCUUUUAGAGGUUUGUGAACAACGUGCAUAUCUGAGGUACCUUUUAGAGGAGUGUGAGCUGCCUGUGCAUCUCUCUGGACAACUAGCUGCUUCCUUGGACCUAGAGCUGUCCUGCCUUGGCCCCUGGAAUUUAUUGGGAAGAUAUUAAAAAAAUGGAGACAUGAAUUUGAAUACAUUUUGUGGCUGAGGCAAAGCAUUCAGUUCCUACAGAGUUGAAUUUCCUAUGUUUUUUUUUUCCUGGCAUUGAUUCAUUACUGAAACCUGCACCACUUCCUUCUCUGCUUCUUCCUGACAGUCUCAUGGAGUGACAUAAUUUUAGAGAAGUGAAAGUGAGGAGUGGCACAGUUUGAUGCCCAGUAAUUGUGUUUGCCUUGUCUGUCCUCGGAGGUUACUCCAGAAAGUUGUGGUCCCACUUCCCUCAGCAAUAUUGUCUUGAUCAAAAUCUGAUGUCCUGCUCCACUUCUGUAGGAUGCUGCAGGAUGCCAGGCAACAGCCCUUGUAGACAGCUUUUGUCUACAGUUGUGUCUUGAGGUUUUUGCCCUUGUUGGUUGUAGCCAGUUGUAGUUUCAUCCAGUUCACCUGCGAUAUUAGCUGACUUGGGCUUCAGCAAAUCAAAAUAAACAUUCAAUACUGUACUAAUGCAGUACCUCAUUUUCUAGAAGAAAGAAUUUGAGUGUUUGCUAUAUUUGUGCAAAAAAAGAGGGAGUUCAAAGAAAAGCAACAAACAAGAUACAGCAUAUACUCUUGGAAAAGAGCUGCAUCCUUGCUGUUUAUCUGGAUUUCAACACACUGAUUGUUUAUAACAAACAUCAAAUCAGAAAGUUUAACAAACCAUCAAGUGACAUAUUAAAUAUAAAAAAUAUAAUGCGCUAGGAAUUGUAUUAAAUGUAAAGUUGCCCUGCUGGAAAUCUCUUCAAUGAAAAUUUUUUCCAAACAAUUGAGUAUGUGAAUGAUGUGAUCAUAAUACUUUGGAUAAUUAUGAGUAG